GACGAACGCUGGCGGCGUGCUUAACACAUGCAAGUCGAGCGGUAAGGCCUCUUCGGGGGUACACGAGCGGCGAACGGGUGAGUAACACGUGGGUGACCUGCCCUCAGCUCUGGGAUAAGCCUGGGAAACUGGGUCUAAUACCGGAUAUGACCUUUCCUCGCAUGGGGUUUGGUGGAAAGUUUUUUCGGCUGGGGAUGGGCCCGCGGCCUAUCAGCUUGUUGGUGGGGUGAUGGCCUACCAAGGCGACGACGGGUAGCCGGCCUGAGAGGGCGACCGGCCACACGGGGACUGGGCCACGGCCCAGACUCCUACGGGAGGCAGCAGUGGGGAAUAUUGCGCAAGGGGCGGAAGCCUGACGCAGCGACGCCGCGGGGGGGAGGAGGGCCUUGGGGUUGUAAACCUCUUUCGACCCCGACGAAUUUGACGGUAGGGGUAGAAGAAGCACCGGCCAACUACGUG
rnacentral:rRNA from 1 species